rnacentral:rRNA from 1 species
GUUGUUUUCUCGAAAAUCAAUUAAAAAAGGCAGGAUUUUGUGUUGUAUUGACUUUAUCAGCUUUCUGCACUCUUUUCUUGUCUUUUUUAAUGCACUUUUCGUUUAACAAGUCAACAUCAAUUUCUUUUGUUGUAAAAGGGUCAUUGGAAGGUGGCUUUCUUUUCGGAGAAAGUGUUUAUAGCCUUUGGCCUCUGCAAUCGGAGAGAUUGAGGUCUGCAGCGUAGAUCCUUCGGGGUUAGAUACAUUUGUGCUAAGUUAUAGCCUUUCAUAGACAACUUGUUGACUAUGAUCAGUCAUGUAGCUUACUCGCUUAUGCUAUUUUACCUAC